UACGAAGGGGGCUAGCGUUGCUCGGAAUCACUGGGCGUAAAGGGUGCGUAGGUGGAUUUUUAAGUCAGGGGUGAAAUCCUGGAGCUCAACUCCAGAACUGCCUUUGAUACUGGGUAUCUUGAGUUCGAGAGAGGUGAGUGGAAUUCCGAGUGUAGAGGUGAAAUUCGUAGAUAUUCGGAGGAACACCAGUGGCAAAGGCGGCUCACUGGCUCGAUACUGACGCUGAGGUGCGAAAGCGUGGGGAGCAAACAGG
rnacentral:rRNA from 1 species